rnacentral:rRNA from 1 species
AACGAACGCUGGCGGCAUGCCUAACACAUGCAAGUCGAACGAAGUCUUCGGACUUAGUGGCGCACGGGUGCGUAACGCGUGGGAAUCUGCCCUUGGGUGCGGAAUAACUUCUCGAAAGGGAUGCUAAUACCGCAUAAUGUCGUAAGACCAAAGAUUUAUCGCCCAAGGAUGAGCCCGCGUAAGAUUAGCUAGUUGGUGGGGUAAAAGCCUACCAAGGCGACGAUCUUUAGCUGGUCUGAGAGGAUGAUCAGCCACACUGGGACUGAGACACGGCCCAGACUCCUACGGGAGGCGGCAGUGGGGGAAUAUUGGACAAUGGGCGAAAGCCUGAUCCAGCAAUGCCGCGUGAGUGAUGAAGGCCCUAGGGUUGUAAAGCCCUGUCGCAGGGGAAGAAUAAGCAUCGGUAUAAUACGCCGGUGCCCUGACGGUACCCUGCAAGAAAGCACCGGCUAACUCCGUGCCAGCAGCCGCGGUAAU